CAGACAACUAUUAUGCAUUUUUCAACCAAGCUUUUGCAAAAGGAGAAGACGCAGCAAAUUGCUCCUCUGAACAGCUCACCAUGUGUUCUGAAGCUCUGCAGUAGAACUUGCCUUUUAUCAACACAAAACAAAAGAAAGGGGGCUGGUGCUGAUAAGAUUAGGAGCCCCCAGGAACUAACACAAACAAAAGCAGUUUUACGACUAAGGAAUCUCUCCGUAGGGGGGGGCACAGAGUAUAAACAAACACAGGUUUACGACUAAGGAAUCUCUCAGAAGACCAUCUUCAAAGAACAUGUUUUAAGGGUUAAAGAAAGGUUAGAUCUGUCUCACACACAUGUUCACUUUAACCAAU